GACGAACGCUGGCGGCGUGCUUAACACAUGCAAGUCGAACGGAAAGGCCCUGCUUUUGUGGGGUGCUCGAGUGGCGAACGGGUGAGUAACACGUGAGUAACCUGCCCUUGACUUUGGGAUAACUUCAGGAAACUGGGGCUAAUACCGGAUAGGAUCUCCUCUUCCGGGGUGGGGGUUGGAAAGUUUGGGCGGUUGGGGCUGGACUCGCGGCUGACGAGCUUGUUGGUGGGGUAGUGGCUUACCAAGGCUUGGACGGGUCGCCGGCAGGAGAGGGUGACCGGCCACAUUGGGACUGAGAGACGGCGCAGACUCCUAUGGGAGGCAGUAGUGGGGAAUAUUGCACAAUGGGCGGAAGCCUGAUGCAGCAACGCUGCGUGCGGGAUGACGGUCUGCGGGUUGUAAACCGCUUUCGCCUGUGACGAAGCGUGAGUGACGGUAAUGGGUAAAGAAGCACCGGCUAACUACGUG
rnacentral:rRNA from 1 species